rnacentral:rRNA from 1 species
UCAGUGUGUGUGUUAGUGGAAGCGUCUGGAAAGGCGCGCGAUACAGGGUGACAGCCCCGUACACAAAAAUGCACAUGCUGUGAGCUCGAUGAGUAGGGCGGGACACGUGGUAUCCUGUCUGAAUAUGGGGGGACCAUCCUCCAAGGCUAAAUACUCCUGACUGACCGAUAGUGAACCAGUACCGUGAGGGAAAGGCGAAAAGAACCCCGGCGAGGGGAGUGAAAAAGAACCUGAAACCGUGUACGUACAAGCAGUGGGAGCACGCUUAGGCGUGUGACUGCGUACCUUUUGUAUAAUGGGUCAGCGACUUAUAUUCUGUAGCAAGGUUAACCGAAUAGGGGAGCCGAAGGGAAACCGAGUCUUAACUGGGCGUUAAGUUGCAGGGUAUAGACCCGAAACCCGGUGAUCUAGCCAUGGGCAGGUUGAAGGUUGGGUAACACUAACUGGAGGACCGAACCGACUAAUGUUGAAAAAUUAGCGGAUGACUUGUGGCUGGGGGUGAAAGGCCAAUCAAACCGGGAGAUAGCUGGUUCUCCCCGAAAGCUAUUUAGGUAGCGCCUCGUGAAUUCAUCUCCGGGGGUAGAGCACUGUUUCGGCAAGGGGGUCAUCCCGACUUACCAACCCGAUGCAAACUGCGAAUACCGGAGAAUGUUAUCACGGGAGACACACGGCGGGUGCUAACGUCCGUCGUGAAGAGGGAAACAACCCAGACCGCCAGCUAAGGUCCCAAAGUCAUGGUUAAGUGGGAAACGAUGUGGGAAGGCCCAGACAGCCAGGAUGUUGGCUUAGAAGCAGCCAUCAUUUAAAGAAAGCGUAAUAGCUCACUGGUCGAGUCGGCCUGCGCGGAAGAUGUAACGGGGCUAAACCAUGCACCGAAGCUGCGGCAGCGACGCUUAUGCGUUGUUGGGUAGGGGAGCGUUCUGUAAGCCUGCGAAGGUGUGCUGUGAGGCAUGCUGGAGGUAUCAGAAGUGCGAAUGCUGACAUAAGUAACGAUAAAGCGGGUGAAAAGCCCGCUCGCCGGAAGACCAAGGGUUCCUGUCCAACGUUAAUCGGGGCAGGGUGAGUCGACCCCUAAGGCGAGGCCGAAAGGCGUAGUCGAUG